GCUUGUCUCAAAGAUUAAGCCAUGCAUGUCUAAGUGUAAAUAAGUCUAUACUGUGAAACUGCGAAUGGCUCAUUAAAUCAGUUAUCGUUUAUUUGAUGAUCUCUUACUACUUGGAUAACCGUAGUAAUUCUAGAGCUAAUACAUGCACAAAAUCCCGACUUACGAAGGGCUGUAUUUAUUAGAUAACAGACCAAUAUUCCUCGUGUCUAUUGUGGUGACUCAUAGUAACUGAUCGGAUCGCACGGGCUUGCCCGCGACAAACCAUUCAAGUUUCUGCCCCAUCAGCUUUCGAUGGUAGUGUAUUGGACUACCAUGGCUUUUACGGGUAACGGAGGAUUAGGGUUCGAUUCCGGAGAGGGAGCCUGAGAAACGGCUACCACAUCUAAGGAAGGCAGCAGG
rnacentral:rRNA from 1 species